CUCCGCUGCCGCGGCCCACGUGUCUGGCCCCUGGCCUUUGUGGGGGCCGGAGAGCGGGGAUGGAGGAAGCCGGCCGACACCUCUCGGCGGCGUCCUUGGCCUCCAGACUAAGCGCCGCCAAGUCUCUGCCCCGCCUGCUGCCCACCCAGCCCGCCCUUCACCAGCCUGGACCCCGGACAGCAACCUCGUGAGCUCGAAGAUGCUCCUUAGACCCCGGGAAAAGCCAAAACAGCACCUCGCUGCUCUCUCGGGACGCCCGGUGGGUGUGGCCGCGCUCUCCCCCGGGGCUCUGCCUCCCCUGCGCAGUAGCCCAGGGGACGGCGACACAGAGGAGCCCCAAGGAUGGGCUGCUGAGCCCGCUCAGCUUCAAGACCACACCCCUCCCCCAGCCACGUGGCCAACCCGGGGUGACUGCCUCCGACAUUCGGGAGCUGCACCUGGGGACUUGAGCGCGAACCUUCGUUUUCUAAUUUUUUUUUUUUUUAAGAGCGCGUUUGAGUGCCCGCCUGCUGUGUGUCUGCGCACUGCGUGGGUGCGGUGGCCCGCAGAGGCCGGAAGAGGGCGUCGGAUCUCCCAGGACUGGAGCUGUGAGCUGCCAAGGGCGUGCUGCGGGUGCCACCCAGGUCCUCUGAGAGAGGGCCGGUGUUCAUGCAAUCCAGCCUGGCCUCAAACUUGCUGUGUAGCUGAAGAUGUCCUUAAAUUCCUAAUCCUCAGCCAGGUGGUAGUGGUGCUCACGCCUUUAGUCCCAGCACUCGGGAGGCAGAAGCAGUUGGAUCUCUGCGAGUUUGAGACCAGCCUGGUCUACAAGAACUAGUUCCAGGACAGCCUCCAAAGCUACACAGAGAAACCCUGUCUUGAAAAACAAAAAACAAAAACUUUCUAACCCUCUAGUCUCCAUCUCCCAGGGGCACAUCAUCAUGCCUGGCUGGCCCUGGGAGUUUAGUAUCCGACUGUGUUCUAGUCAGGACAGUUAAGCAAGAAACACAUAGAGUGAGGUAUAGAUUGAAAAAGUAAACUUGGGCUGCUGUCCCCAUCUGCAAGCUUUGGGACCGACCUGACUGGGGUGAAAAGAAAGAAAAGGCUGGGGGUCAGGGGGGCCUCGUGUUCGGAUGAAGAUGCAACAGCAGCCCAAAACUCCUGUUUAUAUACAGCUCAUUGAGGAGGUGGGCUCAUUAUGUACAGCUGGUCUACUGUAUGCAGGCUGUCUCAGUAGGGCUCUCCACAGAGGAGCCAUCUCAGGCUGCAAUCAGUGGGAGAAGAAGGCUGUGUGGUUGACACUUUCUGCACAACUGUCAACACCUGGGCUUUAGCCAGGGGAAGACUGCCAUUCCCAUGGGUCCAAGGCCCUGGUGUCCUUUAUAUGGAUAUGCUCAUGUCAUUAGCACACAUUCACUCAGGACUUCACCCACUCCCCACAGGCUGUGGUGGUAUGGUGUGGCUCAUUUGGCAGAGUGCCAGUCUACCAUGCACAGAGCCCCGAGUUUGACCCACAGCACUGAAUAAAUAGGAUAGAGGCACUCGUCUGCAAUCCCGAAACUUGAGGAGUGGAGUCAGGGGGAUCAGAAGUUCGAGGUCAUCCUUGGCUAUUCAGUAAGGUAAAAACCAGUGUGGGAGCUAGAGAGAUGUCCUAGUGGUUGAGAGCACUGACUGCCCUUCCAGCCCCAGGUUCAAUUCCCAGCAGCUCACGACUGUCCUGUAACUCCAAUUCUAGAGGACCCAACACCCUCACACAGACAUACAUGCAGGCAAAACACCAAUGCACAUGAAAAAACAAAACAAACAAAAAACACUCCAAUCUGAGCUACAGACCCUGUUUCUGAAAGAAAGAACAGAAGGAAAGGGGGGAAGGAAGAAAGGAAGGAAGGAAGGAAGGAAGGAAGGAAGGAAGGAGAGAAGAUAGGUUGUCUUUUCUCAGAUGUAUGAUAUACUGUGCACCAAACUCGAACAAGCAUCAGAGCAAAAACACCCAGCAAGACUUUAGGACACAAACUCACUAACUAGCAGUUGUGUUUCUGUGUGCCUGAAUUGAACAAUGCAAAAUAAAAUUCAAAAUCUUAAAAAAAAAUAACUCCCAGUUUUGAUGCAUUAAAACCAGCAAAUAACAUCUUAUUUUUGUAGUACACUGAACUCAAGGCCUUGUCCGUGCUAGACCUCUCCCACCUAGCCAGAUCCCAGAACAGCACACUUCUGAAUGCACUCAACAAGAGAAGUCUAAAACUUACACGGUGAACAUUGG
ensembl:lncRNA